UACGAAGGGGACUAGCGUUGUUCGGAAUUACUGGGCGUAAAGCGCACGUAGGCGGAUUUGUUAGUCAGGGGUGAAAUCCCGGGGCUCAACCUCGGAACUGCCUUUGAUACUGCAAAUCUCGAGUCCGAUAGAGGUGGGUGGAAUUCCUAGUGUAGAGGUGAAAUUCGUAGAUAUUAGGAAGAACACCGGUGGCGAAGGCGGCCCACUGGAUCGGUACUGACGCUGAGGUGCGAAAGCCAGGGGAGCAAACGGG
rnacentral:rRNA from 1 species